rnacentral:rRNA from 1 species
AACGAACGCUGGCGGCAGGCCUAACACAUGCAAGUCGAGCGAGGACUUCGGUCCUAGCGGCGGACGGGUGAGUAACGCGUGGGAACGUGCCCUUUGCUUCGGAAUAGCCCUGGGAAACUGGGAGUAAUACCGGAUGAGCCCUCUGGGGGAAAGAUUUAUCGGCGAAGGAUCGGCCCGCGUUGGAUUAGGUAGUUGGUGGGGUAAUGGCCUACCAAGCCGACGAUCCAUAGCUGGUUUGAGAGGAUGAUCAGCCACACUGGGACUGAGACACGGCCCAGACUCCUACGGGAGGCAGCAGUGGGGAAUCUUAGACAAUGGGGGAAACCCUGAUCUAGCCAUGCCGCGUGAGCGAUGAAGGCCUUAGGGUUGUAAAGCUCUUUCAGCUGGGAAGAUAAUGACGGUACCAGCAGAAGAAGCCCCGGCUAACUCCGUG